CCUACGGGUGGCAGCAGUGGGGAAUAUUGGACAAUGGGGGGAACCCUGAUCCAGCCAUGCCGCGUGUGUGAAGAAGGCCCUCGGGUUGUAAAGCACUUUCAGUGAGGAAGAACGCCUGUUGGUUAAUACCCAUCAGGAAAGACAUCACUCACAGAAGAAGCACCGGCUAACUCCGUGCCAGCAGCCGCGGUAAUACGGAGGGUGCGAGCGUUAAUCGGAAUUACUGGGCGUAAAGCGCGCGUAGGUGGCUUGAUAAGCCGGUUGUGAAAGCCCCGGGCUCAACCUGGGAACGGCAUCCGGAACUGUCAAGCUAGAGUGCAGGAGAGGAAGGUAGAAUUCCCGGUGUAGCGGUGAAAUGCGUAGAGAUCGGGAGGAAUACCAGUGGCGAAGGCGGCCUUCUGGACUGACACUGACACUGAGGUGCGAAAGCGUGGGUAGCAAACAGGAUUAGAUACCCUGGUAGUC
rnacentral:rRNA from 1 species